rnacentral:lncRNA from 1 species
UAGGUACAUCUUCUCCUAUUGAGUGUAGACAAGUGAUUGAAGGAAGGUUCUUUUAAUCCUUCCUUUUCCUCUUAUACAGGAUUCUUCAAGUUCCACUUAAUGUUUGGCUUUGGGCCUCCAUGUCUGUUUCCAUCAGCGGCUGGAUGGAGUCUCUUGGAAAACAGUUAUGCUAGGCUCCUAUCUGAAUCUAUGAAGAUGACACUAGUUAAGACUCCUGGCAAUAAG